rnacentral:rRNA from 1 species
AGAGUUUGAUCCUGGCUCAGAUUGAACGCUGGCGGCAGGCCUAACACAUGCAAGUCGAGCGGAAACGAGUUAUCUGAACCUUCGGGGAACGAUAACGGCGUCGAGCGGCGGACGGGUGAGUAAUGCCUAGGAAAUUGCCCUGAUGUGGGGGAUAACCAUUGGAAACGAUGGCUAAUACCGCAUGAUGCCUACGGGCCAAAGAGGGGGACCUUCGGGCCUCUCGCGUCAGGAUAUGCCUAGGUGGGAUUAGCUAGUUGGUGAGGUAAGGGCUCACCAAGGCGACGAUCCCUAGCUGGUCUGAGAGGAUGAUCAGCCACACUGGAACUGAGACACGGUCCAGACUCCUACGGGAGGCAGCAGUGGGGAAUAUUGCACAAUGGGCGCAAGCCUGAUGCAGCCAUGCCGCGUGUGUGAAGAAGGCCUUCGGGUUGUAAAGCACUUUCAGUCGUGAGGAAGGUAGUGUAGUUAAUAGCUGCAUUAUUUGACGUUAGCGACAGAAGAAGCACCGGCUAACUCCGUGCCAGCAGCCGCGGUAAUACGGAGGGUGCGAGCGUUAAUCGGAAUUACUGGGCGUAAAGCGCAUGCAGGUGGUUUGUUAAGUCAGAUGUGAAAGCCCGGGGCUCAACCUCGGAAUAGCAUUUGAAACUGGCAGACUAGAGUACUGUAGAGGGGGGUAGAAUUUCAGGUGUAGCGGUGAAAUGCGUAGAGAUCUGAAGGAAUACCGGUGGCGAAGGCGGCCCCCUGGACAGAUACUGACACUCAGAUGCGAAAGCGUGGGGAGCAAACAGGAUUAGAUACCCUGGUAGUCCACGCCGUAAACGAUGUCUACUUGGAGGUUGUGGCCUUGAGCCGUGGCUUUCGGAGCUAACGCGUUAAGUAGACCGCCUGGGGAGUACGGUCGCAAGAUUAAAACUCAAAUGAAUUGACGGGGGCCCGCACAAGCGGUGGAGCAUGUGGUUUAAUUCGAUGCAACGCGAAGAACCUUACCUACUCUUGACAUCCAGAGAACUUUCCAGAGAUGGAUUGGUGCCUUCGGGAACUCUGAGACAGGUGCUGCAUGGCUGUCGUCAGCUCGUGUUGUGAAAUGUUGGGUUAAGUCCCGCAACGAGCGCAACCCUUAUCCUUGUUUGCCAGCGAGUAAUGUCGGGAACUCCAGGGAGACUGCCGGUGAUAAACCGGAGGAAGGUGGGGACGACGUCAAGUCAUCAUGGCCCUUACGAGUAGGGCUACACACGUGCUACAAUGGCGCAUACAGAGGGCGGCCAACUUGCGAAAGUGAGCGAAUCCCAAAAAGUGCGUCGUAGUCCGGAUUGGAGUCUGCAACUCGACUCCAUGAAGUCGGAAUCGCUAGUAAUCGUGGAUCAGAAUGCCACGGUGAAUACGUUCCCGGGCCUUGUACACACCGCCCGUCACACCAUGGGAGUGGGCUGCAAAAGAAG